UGGGUCGAUUUUUUUAAUAUAGAUAAGAUGAAUGCGUUUCUGUUGCCAAGUGUUUUUCACAAGUAUAGUAGCAGUAUAGCAGAACGGUUUAAGUUUCCUAUAUACACCAAAUGAUACAUUUUGCCAAUACAAUAACGUAAAUGCAUGCAAAUUUCACAAGGUUUAAUCCAAAUAGCUUUCUUACUAUCCAAUAACUUUCAAGUACGAAAAAGAC
rnacentral:lncRNA from 1 species